rnacentral:lncRNA from 1 species
ACAUGUUUGGUUGACGAGUAGCACAAGACCAAACCAUAUCUUGUUUGGUAGGGCUCUUCCUCAAAGGCUCCUCCGGAGGAGUUAGAGAGCUAGAGCCAUUUUAGAGAAGCUAUAAUUCGGGCUCCUUCAAAAUAGCUCUGGCUCCUUAUUCUUUUUCAUAAAAAGCGGCUUCCAACACUUUUUUUUUACUAAACUGUUUGGUAAGACUCCUCUCACUAGUGCAGGACGGGGCUGUUGUCCUGGUUAGAAACCCGCUUUAGUCCCGGUUUCCCAACCGGGACAACGAUUUCGGAACUAAAGGCCCACCCUUUAGUCCCGGGUCAUAGAACCAGGACUAAAGGAUUUGCGCCCAAAGUGGCCCUGGGUCGCCAUGUCGCACACCUUCAGUCCCAGUUGGUGUUACAAACUGGAACUAGGUCUCUUUUUUUUUCUUUUUUGGUUUACUUUUCAUUUCAUUAUUCAUUUUGAGGCCAGCACGUUAGGUGUCUAGCUAGUGAAGUUCCACUUGUAAUCCAGACUGGCUGACGACCACCACCACUUUCCAAACGUAGCAGUUGGUCGUCGUGAUUUCUUCUUUUUUAACAAUUGGAAAAAGAUGUUAGCAGUUAAUCUUGGUCAGACUUCGAGAGCUUUGCAUUGUUGGUGGAGAAAAAGAAAAAUAUUCUCAUGCAUCAAAACUAGUCUAGUCUCCCAUUCGUGCACUGGCACUGUUUUUCCAAGCCAAAUAAUUAAUGGCGAGCAAGCAAACAGCAUCACCGAGUUUACAUCCUUGUGCUCGAAUCCACCGACUGUGUGAAAGUUACUACUAGCAGCGUUGUUUCGUAAGGGGAAGAACUGAUACCACGAAUAAGUACUUGCUCCAGAAGCAUGUAUAUACAAGGCUAUCCAUUGACUAAUAAUUUAGAGCAACUCCAACAACUUGGCUAUUUUAGAAUUUGUAUAAUAAAAGAUAGACUCCAACAGAUGUGCUAUCUAGUUUUGUAAAAUAGAAAGUUGAUUAUUCCUUAAUUUUCGCUGGCCAUAUAUAGCCAACCACUCUAUAUGAUUUUGUAAAAAUAACAAGACUGUUGUGGAUCUCUUUUUUAAAAAAGUUUUCUACUUUACAAAAUGGCUAAAUAAUAG